CCUACGGGGGGCAGCAGUAGGGAAUAUUGCUCAAUGGGGGAAACCCUGAAGCAGCAACGCCGCGUGGAGGAUGAAGGUUUUCGGAUUGUAAACUCCUUUUGUUAGAGAAGAUAAUGACGGUAUCUAACGAAUAAGCACCGGCUAACUCCGUGCCAGCAGCCGCGGUAAUACGGCGGGUGCAAGCGUUACUCGGAAUCACUGGGCGUAAAGGGCGCGUAGGCGGGAUAGCAAGUCAGAUGUGAAAUCCCGUGGCUUAACCAUAGAACUGCAUUUGAAACUGUUAUUCUAGAGUAUGGGAGAGGUAGGAGGAAUUCAUGGUGGAGCGGUGAAAUGCGUAGAGAUCAAGAGGAAUACU
rnacentral:rRNA from 1 species